rnacentral:rRNA from 1 species
ACGUAGGGUCCGAGCGUUGUCCGGAAUUAUUGGGCGUAAAGAGCUCGUAGGCGGCAUGUCGCGUCUGCUGUGAAAGACCGGGGCUUAACUCCGGUUCUGCAGUGGAUACGGGCAUGCUAGAGGUAGGUAGGGGAAACUGGAAUUCCUGGUGUAGCGGUGAAAUGCGCAGAUAUCAGGAGGAACACCGGUGGCGAAGGCGGGUUUCUGGGCCUUACCAGACGCUGAGGAGCGAAAGCAUGGGGAGCGAACAGGA